rnacentral:rRNA from 1 species
UAUUGGGCGUAAGGGAGCGCAGGCGGUUGGAAUAGUCUGAUGUGAAAGCCCACGGCUUAACCGUGGAAGGUCAUUGGAAACUGUCCAACUUGAAUGCAGAAGAGGUAAGUGGAAUUCCAUGUGUAGCGGUGAAAUGCGUAGAUAUAUGGAGGAACACCAGUGGCGAAGGCGACUUACUGGUCUGUGAUUGACGCUGAGGCUCGAAAGCGUGGGUAGCGAACAGGAUUAGAUACCCUGGUAGUCCACGCCGUAAACGAUGAGUGCUAAGUGUUGGAGGGUUUCCGCCCUUCAGUGCUGGAGUUAACGCAUUAAGCACUCCGCCUGGGGAGUACGGCCGCAAGGCUGAAACUCAAAGGAAUUGACGGGGACCCGCACAAGCGGUGGAGCAUGUGGUUUAAUUCGACGCAACGCGAAGAACCUUACCAGCUCUUGACAUCUUCUGUUCACUCUAGAGAUAGAGCUUCCCCUUCGGGGGCAGAAUGACAGGUGGUGCAUGGUUGUCGUCAGCUCGUGUCGUGAGAUGUUGGGUUAAGUCCCAUAACGAGCGCAACCCUUAUUGUUAGUUGCCAGCAUUCAGUUGGGCACUCUAGCGAGACUGCCGGUGAUAAACCGGAGGAAGGUGGGGAUGACGUCAAAUCAUCAUGCCCCUUAUGAGCUGGGCUACACACGUGCUACAAUGGACGGUACAACGGGUAGCGAGGGCGCGAGCCUUAGCAAAUCCUAAUAAGCCGUUCUCAGUUCGGAUUGUUCUCUGCAACUCGAGAGCAUGAAGCCGGAAUCGCUAGUAAUCGCGGAUCAGAAUGCCGCGGUGAAUACGUUCCCGGGUCUUGUACACACCGCCCGUCACACCACGAGAGUUCGUA